GAAACUUCAGAUUCAGACCUUUAAAAUCAAGUAGCAUCAUAAACUCCACUCCAAGGAAGAACCAAGAGCCUCGUGAAAACUGGCACUUCUGGGUCGUCCCAUUUUGUCUAAUUCCUUACUGCUACAUAUAUUAAGGUUAGUUGAAUCAGGACACAUCUAGUCCCUGCUGCUACUACUGCUAGGACUAUGACUUGUGUUCGAGUCUGACCCAUAACUGCUAACGCCUCAUUUCCACAAGUCAAAUAUACAAUCUAUACACACACAUUCAAAAUUUCCCAUAAAUUCUUUCUUCUUCCAGUAAACUCUGCCUGUAGCAAUGUAGAAGAAGGAUCACUGUCUCCAAGGGCUAGAAGAAGAAGAAGAAGUGUCUGUUAAAGCCUUUCCCAAGACGGUAACAAAUACGAGAGAAUAUAUUUUAUUUCAUGGUCCAUUUGACAUGGUCGAUGAUGAUUAUGGUUGUCUUUGCGCUGUCGCUUCUAGUGCUUCCUCCACUCCUGCCACCGUUGCCUCCACCGCCGCUGGUUCUUUUAUUUGUACCCGUCAUGAUUAUGUUACUUCUUUUGUUAAUGGCUUUCACUCCAUCGCAAAUCCCUGAGUUUUCUCUUUGAGAUCUGUUUUCCUGUUCCUUUUUUUUUUUUUUUUGAAUUAAUGCAGCUUUUCACUUUUGUAUUAAGAGGAAAGAAAUGAUGUAAAAUUAGAUUGUUAAUUUAGAGCAAAACUAUUUGGGGCUUUCUAUGCUUAAAAGGGUAGAAAGUAUGACAUAAGAAAAAGAAAUCAGCGAG
rnacentral:lncRNA from 1 species